GCUGUAUGCUGGGGAAGGGCCUGCAUGGAGGCUCUCUCGUGGGAGAGGAGUUGCAUUUCCUGUGCUAAGCCUGCUCCUGGCUCAAUCUCUCCCCAGGCUGUGCUGGCUGGAGCUGCUGCCUUCAUUUACGAGAAACGGGGUGGUACAUACUGGGCCCUGCUGAGGACUCUGCUAGCGCUGGCAGCUUUCUCCACAGCCAUCGCUGCCCUCAAACUUUGGAAUGAAGAUUUCCGAUAUGGCUACUCUUAUUACAACAGUGCCUGCCACAUCUCCAGCUCGAGCGACUGGAACACCCCAGCCCCCACUCAGAGUCCAGAAGAAGUCAGAAGGCUACACCUAUGUACCUCCUUCAUGGACAUGCUGAAGAAAAGAGACCAGAAGGAAAUGUUGGAAGUGAGUGGAAUCUAGCCAUGCCUCUCCUGAUUAUUAGUGCCUGGUGCUUCUGCACCGGCGUCCCUGAAUCUGACUGCUGGAAGAAGAACCAGACUGAGGAAAAGAGGCUCUUCAACAGCCCCAGUUAUCCUGCCCCCAUGACCAUGGCCACAGCCCUGCUCCAGCAGCACUUGCCCAUUCCUUACACCCCUUCCCCAUCCUGCUCCGCUUCAUGUCCCCUCCUGAGUAGUCAUGUGAUAAUAAACUCUCAUGUUAUUG
rnacentral:sRNA from 1 species